rnacentral:rRNA from 1 species
UACGUAGGGUGCGAGCGUUAAUCGGAAUUACUGGGCGUAAAGCGUGCGCAGGCGGUUAUGCAAGACAGAUGUGAAAUCCCCGGGCUCAACCUGGGAACUGCAUUUGUGACUGCAUGGCUGGAGUGCGGCAGAGGGGGAUGGAAUUCCGCGUGUAGCAGUGAAAUGCGUAGAUAUGCGGAGGAACACCGAUGGCGAAGGCAAUCCCCUGGGCCUGCACUGACGCUCAUGCACGAAAGCGUGGGGAGCAAACAGG